AGUUUCCUAAUAUAGCACAGCCAACAGGCAGCACAGAAUAUGAUAUUUUCAAGGCCAGACUAAUAAGUGCUCAUUUUUUGCAAAGUCUUUCUUUGCUUCUUGGCUCUGGAAAGGGAAAUUUUAAAAAGAAUAUUACAAAUCAUGAGGACUUUGCUCACACAAAUAUGAUGAUCUUGCAGUCGUCUGAUUAUUUUGCUCCCAACUCUUGACAAACUAAGUGUAAAGAAUCAUCAGGCAUCUUGAAUUGCUUCAGAUCAUGCAGACCCAACUUCAGAGUUAUUUCUUCUGUACAAACUGAUGACAUUGCAGACCUACACAGCUCUUUAUGCGCCUUCCCCCUCGUCAUGCUGACCUACAUGGGCAGCUUUCAUCGAUUUCCCUUCUCCCGGCUCCCUCUCCCACCAGCAGAAGGAUUCUGAUUGAAGGAGCCGCCGGAGCUCUCCAAAUCAACACACACACCCUUGUGCACCUGGGGCACUGUUAGUCAGUCCAGCUUGGUAGAACCAGUGCAGUGUUACACUAGACAAGCUAUCGCAAAGAAAGCCACUGAGUCCGAUUUGCUCUGACCCCUUCUAAAGUGCAGCACACACACCCCCCCUGGGGCCCCGCCUCCCCGAGCGGUCCGGCUAUAAUUCUCUGCCAUUCUGCGGGCUCUGUGCUGCUCGUCUCCGCAACAACCACCAUGGGGGGAGACAAGAUGUACAAUAGGACCCAACAUGGGAGACCCCUGACCCAAGUUCAAUACAGCCAUUUAUAGCAGGGAUGGUGAAAUGAGACAUUCAUACACAGCGGGAUUCACACACGGGCGAACCAGGAGCAGAAUCGCCGUGCCCGCAGGCGGACGGGGUCCUGGGGAAAGGGAUUUACUCCCAGUGUG